rnacentral:rRNA from 1 species
GAUGAACGCUGGCGGCGUGCCUAACGCAUGCAAGUCGAACGAAGAGGCCCCUUCGGGGGUACUUCAGUGGCGGACGGGUGAGUAACACGUAGGUGACCUACCCCGAAGUGGGGAAUAACAGUCCGAAAGGAUUGCUAAUACCCCAUGCGAUCGAUGAGGUUAGAGUCUUAUCGAUUAAAGCAGACCCGCAAGGGUAUGUGCUUCGGGAGGGGCCUGCGCCCCAUCAGCUAGUUGGUAGGGUAAUGGCCUACCAAGGCUACAACGGGUAGGGGGCCUGAGAGGGUGACCCCCCACAUUGGCACUGACACACGGGCCAAACUCCUACGGGAGGCAGCAGUGAGGAAUAUUGCUCAAUGGGCGAAAGCCUGAAGCAGCAACGCCGCGUGCGCGAUGAAGGCCUUCGGGUCGUAAAGCGCUUUUGAGAGGGACGAGAUAGGACGGUACCUCUGGAAUAAGUCACGGCUAACUACGUG